ensembl:lncRNA uncharacterized LOC114481193
AUGGGUCAGAAAACAUCUGUGAUUCCAGCAGCCAACUACAGUGUGUUUGCUGAUUCUCUGCUCACCUCAGAGCACUGGAAGGGAAUAGAAGUUGACAGGUCUCUGCAGAUGUUUUCUUUUCUCAACUCCACGGAGGAGCUGAACUGUUUCAGAGACCAGGUUUUGUUUGGGGAAGACUUGAGCAUUGCUGCUAGCUCUUUGCAGAACGUGGGAGGUGCACUGAAAGGGAUCUCUGUUGUGCCUAAUGCUGUUGGACUGGGAGCUCUGGUCAUUGCCAUGAUCCUGGAUGUUUUUGCCAAGUCUCUCAAUAAGCAAACACUAGGAACCGCUGAAAUGUUGGAGAGAGUAUUUGCUCAAGAGAAGGCCAAUGAGGUCAGAGAUCUAAUGGAGGAGUACCUGAAACGUCUGCAGAUCAACUUGGCGCAUCCACAGCUUCAGCUAGCUGAAACCAGGAGGGCAGAGGUGGAGCUGAGUGCUCAGCUCACACGUCUGAAGAAUUCCAUGGUGAAGGAUGGACAUAUGGGGACACGCUUUCUAAAGCAGUGGGUGAACGGAGCUGCUUUCCACACCCAGAUGUUGAUCCAUCAGGCUCGUCUGGAGGGGACGCUGGG